CUCUCUCUCUCUAUAUAUAUAUAUAGGUAGUACAUAUACAUUUAUGAACAGACUCUUCAAUUUCCUCCGAAUCACCAAAAACCCUAACCCUGGUUCUCGUCGGCAGGUUCCGGGCAACAGGUUCUUCUCCGACCAAUCACUUUUAUCCCAAAACCCUAACCCUAACCCUAAAACCCCCAAUCUCGACUCCGGUGACUUCACUACCAUUUCUGACCUCCUCGCGAACCCCAGCUUCCCAUCUGGUCCGGUCCUACAAGCCGCUCUGGACCGGACCGGAAUCGAACCGGACCCGUCUCUGCUACAGCGGAUUUUCGACCAUUCUGGCUCUUCUCCUAAGGCGCUGUUGAGUCUAUUCUUUUGGGCUGAGAGGCGGCCCGGGUACCGAUCUUCAGUGGCCAUCUUCAAUGCCAUGGUCAAGGUCCUUGCUAGGGCUAGACAGUUCGAGCCUGCGCGGUGGCUGAUACUUGAUCGGCUUAAAAAGCCUAUUGAGGGACCUGAUUUGAGUACAUUUGCCAUUCUUAUAAGGCGUUAUGCUCGUGCAGGUAUGUCCCUACCUGCAAUCAAAACAUUUGAAUUUGCAUGCAGUUUAGAGUUGAUCAAGAAUUCCAAUUUGGAACUGAAUUUGUUUGAGAUCUUGUUGGACUCCUUCUGCAAGGAAGGACUUAUUCGGGAAGCAUCAGAAUAUUUCCAUGCGAGAAGAGGAAUGGACCCUUCCUGGGUCCCACCAAUUCAAGUAUUUAAUAUACUACUUAAUGGGUGGUCUCAAGCAAGACAGAUUGAACACAUGGAAAGGCUUUGGGAUGAGAUGAAAAAAGAGAAUCUGAAGCCUAAUGUUGUGACAUAUAGUGCCCUUGUUGAAGGAUAUAGUCAGAUGUGUCAUGUUGAGGUGGCAAUUGAAUUGUUAGGUAGGAUGAGGAGAGACGGACUUGAACCAAAUGCAAUCAUAUACAAUCCCAUAAUUAAUGCAUUGGGGAAGGAAGGAAGGUUUAAGGAGGCAUUGGGGAUUAUGGAACGGUUUUUGGUUUUGGAAUCAGGUCCAACUAUUACCACAUACAAUUCCCUAGUGAAAGGGUUUUGCAGGGCAGGUGAUCUUGAAGGGGCUACCAAGAUCCUUAAGAUGAUGAUCAGCAGAGGUAUAAUGCCAACAGCCACAACUUAUAAUCACCUUUUCAGUUACUUAUCAAAAUUAGGGAAAGUUGAGGAGGGGCUGAACCUGUAUACAAAGAUGCUGGAAUCUGGGUACUCCCCAGACCAGCUCACCUACCAUCUUUUAAUGAAGUUGCUUUGUAAGGAAGAGAGACUGGAGCAGGCAAAGCAAGUUCUGAAAGAAAUGAAAGUGAGGGGAUAUGAUUUGGGCCUGUGUGAAUGCACUAUGCUGAUCCAUUUGCUAUGCAAGAUGCAUAGAUUUGAAGAGGUUCUGGUAGAGUUUGAGGACAUGAUACAGAGGGGAAUUCUUCCUGACUACAUUACAUGCCAAACAGUGAUUGAUGAACUAAAGAAACAAGGAAUGAGAGAAAUAGCCCGAAAACUGUACAAUAUGAUAUCUGCUGUACCUCACUUGGUGGAGCUGCCAAAUGUAUGUGUCAGAGAUAAAGAUGCAUUUCAUGCAAGGAGAACAGCUAUAAUGCAGAAAGCCAAAGCAAUAUCUGAUACUUUAAAGGCAUGCAAGGAUUCACAAGGACUUGUUAAGCAUAGAAAUCAGUCAAAGAAUGCUGUUAUGGGACAGAGGAUUCGUACCUGUAGAUAGAAUAUAUCAAUAGAAGAGUUAACUCGUGCUGAAAUUGUGGAUUUUGAAAAUGUAAGAGCCAAAUCUUUAUAUUUAAGUGUUGGCAAAAGAAUCUAUUGUCAUGCACAUUAUGCCAUUGACCACCUGGAUAUUUUGCAUAGAAUGGGUCAGCACAAAACUCUGGGCCACAAUGACUUGGACUGUUAAAUAACGGUCACCAAGUUUGUGGUUUAGUGGCCUGAUGACCUGUCUACCAAGCCUAGGGGCAGGGUCCAAUCCCUUUAGCCUCACUUCACUAGAAUUUUGAGGAAGUCUCUGGUUACUGAUGGUGACUAUAUUCUGAUUCAAACACCUAGCCAGUGUCUUAAUGCGACAAUCCAUUUACUCAAGCCAGAUUGGUGGCCCAGCAGGUUUCCUGUUGAAUUGGUGUAAUUACAGAAGUUGAUAAGUGCUUCUGAUUAUGUCAGCCAGUAGACUCAUGUAUGGAGGAGAUGACACUCAGAAAGAUGGUUCAGUCUCUGGAAUACUGUCAAGAUGCUGAACUAAGCUCUGGAAGAACUUGCUUUCACGUGUAUCUUUUCAUACGAGCAUUUGUGUUAUGUAAUUAUAAUGUAAAUUUAUGAUGAUAUUUUGAAGUCUUAAUACUGAAUACAUGACAUUCAAACAGUUGUGCUUUUGAAACUUUUAUAUAGAGAGAGGAGAGAAAGGAAUUUUUGGGGAGGAUCAGUAUCUGUUUAUUGAGGCACUUGCUAUUGUUGAAGGGAGUCUUUUUUUCCAAUUGCUUGCGGACUGGUAUAUUAAGAGCUAUAGCUUAUAAAAAAACGAGAAUGUUUCCACUUCUUCAGACCACAGCCCUGGAAUCUAAUCAGUGAAAUUAAUGAAUUAUUUUUUCUUUCAAAUAUUUUUGUUGAAUAAUGCGGCUGUCAUAAGCUAUAUGGCAUGAUCUCUGAAUAUUUAGACAAUAUGCAUCAACUGAGCAAUUACAGGCUUUCUGUAGUAUUUGCCACUGUUUUCUUUAGAAAUUGCUAUUCUAUUGUAUCAAGAAAACAUAGCCGGAAAGCAAAAGAUAUUUAAUUUAGAACCUCUGUUUGCCCUAUCACUUGAAAGGCAUUUAUAUAGAAUCAAGCAUUCAGUUAUAUUUUACUUUAAAGAAAAUAUUGUUAUUUAUCAAAAAAAUGACAGUGUGGUAUAUUCUUUUUCUCAAUAAACAAUUUCAAGCUGAGGUUUGUGUGUGUUUGGUGUGUUCAUUGUGGAAUAAAAUAAUUCAAAUGUGCAUAAGAAGUUAUUUAUGCUUUUAUCAGUCCUACUAAACUAUUUUUUUUUAAUCAUAUCUUGGGAUUGCUAAUAUGUACAUAGAGAAAUCUUUGGGUGCCAGAGCAUGCACGUGCUGUUUGAUGGGUUGCUUGUACAAUGUACGUGCAGAGAUUGUGGGUUUAGGGUUUAGGAGGUAGUUUUUCCUUUCCUCUAAUGAAUUGUGUGGUUCUUGUAGUUCAGAUGUAAUGGCUAGGGACGAGAAAUUGACUCAGUGGUGGCAUUUGUGGGUCUGCUUAACUAUCACUGUUGAUCGAUUAUUGAGGGGACAAGUUGGCAGAGUGACUAUUUGGAGCAGGAUUCUUUCGUCUUUUAACAUUCUUUGAUUCUCUAUGUAACCCAGGGGGGCUAAUAUUCCUUGAAAAGCCUUGUAGAGGAGGGCUCUCUCAAUGUGGCCUUUUUCAUUGGGACUACAUAGGUCCAUUCUCAGUUCUGAUGAUCUGAUAAAGUGGAAGAUUGUAGUUCUGAAUUGGUUAUUCACAUGCAAGGAAAAUGGGGAAUCAAUUAGCCCAGAGGGAUAAAGUUUAUUCUUUUUCUUUUUUUAGUGUAUAGUUUGUUUUGCUGGUCUUAGUGUUUGAUCUUUUUGUACUAUCAUGGUCAGGGUUGCCCACAGCAUUUGUUAGAGCUCUGCACAGGCUACCACUCUUUGUUUUUAGUGGAUAUUUGGCGUGAUUGAAUGGAAGGGCUUUUGAAGGGGUAGAAAGUUUGAUUCUUUGAUGAAGGGAACCAUUCUCAUUUUUUUAUUUCUACGAUUGAAACAAGGGGUCCUUUUUUACUUAACACACAAUCAAAAUUAUGGCUUGGAUACUAAGAGAUUUAAAACAUGUCUCUGAUUAAUGAAUUACUAGUUGGGGGAAUCUAGGAACAGUUUUUAUGAAACUGAUGUUCACCUGGACCUGAUAGUUCUAGUGUUAAUAAAAUUAUCCUGGUAGGAUAGUCAUUUGGGAAUGAUGUGCUCCUUGCCAGUGUUAUUUUGAAGAGCCUUGCUUCUAAGGUCUUGAUAACCAUAAUUCCAUAUAUAAAAAGAUAUCCCUGAUUUGCUGGUAGAAGUAUGCGUAUGGAAUUUAGGUAUUAAAUAUAUUCUUUAUCAAUUUGUUUGUUUUUCCUU